rnacentral:rRNA from 1 species
UACGUAGGGUGCAAGCGUUGUCCGGAAUUAUUGGGCGUAAAGAGCUCGUAGGCGGUCUGUCGCGUCUGCUGUGAAAAUCCGGGGCUCAACCCCGGACUUGCAGUGGGUACGGGCAGACUGGAGUGUGGUAGGGGAGACUGGAAUUCCUGGUGUAGCGGUGGAAUGCGCAGAUAUCAGGAGGAACACCGAUGGCGAAGGCAGGUCUCUGGGCCACUACUGACGCUGAGAAGCGAAAGCAUGGGGAGCGAACAGG